UACAGAGGUCUCAAGCGUUGUUCGGAUUCAUUGGGCGUAAAGGGUGUGUAGGUGGCGCCGUAAGUCGGGUGUGAAAUUUCGGAGCUUAACUCCGAAACUGCAUUCGAUACUGCGGUGCUUGAGGACUGGAGAGGAGACUGGAAUUUACGGUGUAGCAGUGAAAUGCGUAGAUAUCGUAAGGAAGACCAGUGGCGAAGGCGGGUCUCUGGACAGUUACUGACGCUGAGGCACGAAGGCCAGGGGAGCAAACGGG
rnacentral:rRNA from 1 species